GUUGCAGCUGUCUGGAGGUGCUGCCUUCCACACCUUCCUCAGUCACACCUUGUUCUCAUUCAACAGGCAAUUGAUUACAAGGUUCAUCCCUGGGGAUGGUUAUAUGUGGAAGUGCCAUUACCCCAUGUAGGAUCAGACCUGCGCUGGAAAAAUUAAGUUACUACUGAUUUUGGGUAGAGGAAAGAAUGACCCACCUGCCGCAGAGACCAAAAGGAGCAGCCACCUUGAGACCAUCCAGGGAGAUGGAAACCAGACAGUGAUCUGUGGAGUCACAACAAAUAGAAGUUUGCUUAAGUAUUGAGGGAGGACUGCAAGAACUCUUGUCAGUAUGAGAUGUGGAUUGCUGGGUCGUUGUGGCUUCCUCG